UACGUAGGGUGCAAGCGUUGUCCGGAAUUAUUGGGCGUAAAGAGCUCGUAGGCGGUCUGUCGCGUCGGAUGUGAAAAUCCAGGGCUUAACCCUGGACCUGCAUUCGAUACGGGCAGACUAGAGGCAGGUAGGGGAGAACGGAAUUCCCGGUGUAGCGGUGAAAUGCGCAGAUAUCGGGAGGAACACCGGUGGCGAAGGCGGUUCUCUGGGCCUGUACUGACGCUGAGGAGCGAAAGCGUGGGGAGCGAACAGG
rnacentral:rRNA from 1 species